UUUAUUGGAGAGUUUGAUCCUGGCUCAGGACGAACGCUGGCGGCGUGCCUAAUACAUGCAAGUCGAGCGAGGGUCUUCGGACCCUAGCGGCGGACGGGUGAGUAACACGUAGGAA
rnacentral:rRNA from 1 species